UACGUAGGGUGCGAGCGUUAAUCGGAAUACUGGGCGUAAGGCGUGCGCAGGCGGUUUUGUAAGCCAGAUGUGAAAGCCCCGGGCUCAACCUGGGAAUGGCAUUUGGGACUGCAAGGCUUGAGUGCGGCAGAGGAGACUGGAAUUCCUGGUGUAGCAGUGAAAUGCGUAGAUAUCAGGAGGAAUACCGAUGGCGAAGGCAGGUCUCU
rnacentral:rRNA from 1 species